UACGAAGGGGGCUAGCGUUGCUCGGAAUCACUGGGCGUAAAGCGCACGUAGGCGGAUCUUUAAGUCAGGGGUGAAAUCCUGGAGCUCAACUCCAGAACUGCCUUUGAUACUGGGGAUCUCGAGUCCGGAAGAGGUGAGUGGAACCCCGAGUGUAGAGGUGAAAUUCGUAGAUAUUCGGAAGAACACCAGUGGCGAAGGCGGCUCACUGGUCCGGUACUGACGCUGAGGUGCGAAAGCGUGGGGAGCAAACAGG
rnacentral:rRNA from 1 species